rnacentral:misc_RNA from 1 species
CUUUGUAAUUUCUUUUCUGAUCUUUUGAGAAGAUCAGUUAUUUCAUGGGUAAGAGCCUCAAUACGACGUUGAUCUUCCUUACCAUCUCCAAAUGAUGGCAUUAAAGCCUUAGCAUGAGCUUUGGCUAGUUCAGACAUCUUUGUCCGGACCCGAUGAACAUUAGCCGUGAUUUCAUCUGACAAGUCCACCCAAGCUGGCGGUAGACCUACUGUAACUGGUCCAUUACUGGAGGUUCCGGGGUCUUCCGUACUGAGAGGAGCAUAAGAUCGAUUAGGAUUAAGCAAAGAAGUCGUUGCCAAUUCGAUCACCGGCCCACUACCAUGUCCGGAUGACGUGGACGUCGAAGAGCCCGCCGGGAUCCGAACACUUCUCAACGCAUCUCUAUACUUCCUAAACACAAGCGUUCUAUUUCUGCUCGCCAUUAACGUUUUCUAUACAGAAAUCCAAUAAAAUGGAGGAAUAAAUUGCGCCCAGCGUCCUACAGAUAAGUGAUUCCACUUGUGCUUAGAUCUGAGAUCUCUU